rnacentral:rRNA from 1 species
UGGUCUUGACAUAGUAAGAACUUUCCAGAGAUGGAUUGGUGCCUUCGGGAACUUACAUACAGGUGCUGCAUGGCUGUCGUCAGCUCGUGUCGUGAGAUGUUGGGUUAAGUCCCGCAACGAGCGCAACCCUUUUCCUUAUUUGCCAGCGGGUUAAGCCGGGAACUUUAAGGAUACUGCCAGUGACAAACUGGAGGAAGGCGGGGACGACGUCAAGUCAUCAUGGCCCUUACGACCAGGGCUACACACGUGCUACAAUGGUCGGUACAAAGGGUUGCUACCUAGCGAUAGGAUGCUAAUCUCAAAAAGCCGAUCGUAGUCCGGAUUGGAGUCUGCAACUCGACUCCAUGAAGUCGGAGUCGCUAGUAAUCGCGGAUCAGAAUGCCGCGGUGAAUACGUUCCCGGGCCUUGUACACACCGCCCGUCACACCAUGGGAGUUUGUUGCACCAGAAGUAGGUAGUCUAACCGCAAGGAGGACGCUUACCACGGUGUGGCCGAUGACUGGGGUGAAGUCGUAACAAGGUAGGCGUAGAUGA